rnacentral:rRNA from 1 species
UGGCGGACGGGUGAGUAAUGUCUGGGAAACUGCCUGAUGGAGGGGGAUAACUACUGGAAACGGUAGCUAAUACCGCAUAACGUCGCAAGACCAAAGAGGGGGACCUUCGGGCCUCUUGCCAUCGGAUGUGCCCAGAUGGGAUUAGCUAGUGGUGGGGUAACGGCUCACCUAGGCGACGAUCCCUAGCUGGUCUGAGAGGAUGACCAGCCACACUGGAACUGAGACACGGUCCAG